ensembl:lncRNA
AUGAGUCUAAUUCCGAAAAUCCUGACAUUUUCAGGCAGACUGAAUCCAUCAGCACUCAUGGAUGGUAAUAAGUCCCAGUCUGUAUGGAGAUGUGUGUUUUUCUGCUCGUCGGCCCAGCUGAGGGCGGCUGUUCCGUCGGGAAAUAACCCAGCGUCACUCCCAGUGGAAGUAGAGUUUUCAAUUUCCUCAGCUUAUAGAGAUGUAUUGGCCAAUGAGUGCUCCUUGGUUCCCCUCUCAAGCCUCUGCCAGACUCUAAUGUGGACUCUCCUUCAAACUGUCACGCUUAUACCUGCAUGAUAGCAGUGAAACGAAUGACUGCAUUAGCAUAAGUGCUGGUACAGGAGGUCAGCAGUUACCAUGUAAAGACGUCAGAUACAUGUGGCUCAAUGAGGAGAACGCUAGGCUAAUGUAGACAAAUAUGUGCCCAGCACUUGUCAAGAUCCCGUUUAUCACAGUAUGUGCCGUUACGUAUCACUGAGAGAAACAUUCCAUAUGCUUUCUCCGUUUGGUGCACAGCUUACAAAAAAAGCUCAUUUUAGACUUUGCUACACAUGAUAAAUCUUUGUUAUUGUAACCGAAAUGUGAGGCAUCAGACUCAAAUUGGAUUUGCGGGGAAAUGGAGGGUUUGAUGAAACUAUGAUAAUUCCUGCAUUGAUCAUCUCACUGUCAGUUGUAAUCCAAUUAAAACAGAUCGUCUGGAUCUAACCUGGUCUCGCCACCGUGACGAGUGCGUCUGCACUCCUCCUCUUCUUUCGUCCUUUCUCUAUAAUUAGGGAUUAAUGGAAAACUCUAAUGAUGGAAAAAAGCUGAGAUGAAGCCUGCUGGACAUACAACAGCUCAGUAGGUAAAGGGCUAAUUUAGAGUUCAGAACAGGAAAAAUAUGACACUGUCACUAUUUUUUUUAAAACUAAAGCUGAAAAUUUGAUUAAGUCUUUAUAGAUAUAAAAAACUAAAAAUGAUAAAAACACAACAAAAUUACUAUAAUUAAAAUGAAAACAUAAAAACAUAAAAAAAAACUGAUUCUAGAUAUUAAUUAAAACAAUAACAAGUGUCUCAGUGACAACGCUGCUUUGUACAUAACUAAAAAUUACACCUUCCUUAAAUUAAUACAUUUGUUUCAAGUAUUUCAUUCACAAAUUAAUAACUCUUGUAUUAAGGUCUUGUAAACAAUGUAAAAUAAGCAAAGUCUUUUACCUACAACUUUUCAAAUAUGUAAAAUUAUGUAUAAUUACUAUGAUAUUGUGUAUGAGGAUCAAAAUAAAAUCUUAAUGAUGAUACCCUGAAUUGGGUUAUUAUAGUUAACUAAAAAUAAAAUUGAAACUAAAACUGUUUAAAAAAUGUUAUCUUAACAAAAAAAAAAAGUUAAAUAGAUGUACAAAAAUAACUAAGACUUAAAAUAAAAAUUGCUUAAAACUAUGAAAAUUAAAUGACUAAAAAUGACAAAAACACACAAUAAUGAUGCUAAAACUUUAACUAAAAUUAAAUGUGUAUUAAAUUAAUAUGCAAAUGAAAUGAAAAAUUAAAACAAAGACAGAUUCAAAAUAUUAAUAACUAUAAUAGCAUCUAAGUGACACUAAAAUAACACUGACUCUGAAGACACUGCUGGGAUUCAAACCUAAAACACUGGAACAAAGCAAACAUAACUGCAUAACUUACAGUUUUACAAUUUUUUAACAGAAUUGUGCAUUUACUUUUAACCUUUAAAGUAUUUUAACUUUACAAAAUAAUACACAUGAACUUUAACCAUCUAAUUAUGCAUGCCACUAUACAGGUUUAAACCAUAGUUAUGCAUUAUUUUGCGACCAGCAUACUGUAACUGAUUUGAAUAAAGAAUAUAAAUAAAAUAAACUUGCAUACAGCUAAUGGGAUAUGCAUUUGAACACUUACCAGAAAUUAAUUGCUUACUUUAAUGAGGGUUUUUAUAUUACACCAUAAAGAAUCAUCAGUGCAAAUGGGCCAGUAAUGCAACUGUGUGUGUGUGUAUGUUUUGUGUGCGUGCUACUGCACAUCAGAUGAUGGGUAUCAGGGCAGAUUAAAUGUAUUCAUGCUUCGUUUAUUUUCAUUACCCUGACAGUAAAGUUCAACAAACCAGGGAACUCGAAUGAGGCGAUGAUCGCUGAAACCUUAGCCCAUUGCAGGCUGAUCAAAACGUUAAUUUAAUUCAGCCCACUCAGUGCAGAGUUAUUGCCAUUAAAAACACAUUUAAAUUUAUUUAAAGUUUAUUAGAAAAAUUAAUUGUGUCCUUAUUACUCCAUUUAUCAAAGUCAGACUGUCGGAUAUUUGUUUUAAAACUUUUGUGAAAGUUAAUUAAAUUCCGGAGCAGUAUGUAUUUUUUUUUUUAUUUCUCUCUCUGAAGAAAAUUAGAAGUUUUUACCCAUUCAAAACUUUGGUAUGUAUUUUAACAUUGGAAAGAAAAAUAUAACUGCACAAAUCACAAUUUUCUUUUAUUUAUUAAAACAUUUUUUAUUUUUGCUGAGAACUUGUGUGCAGUUUUUUUUUUUCAAAAUAUUUUAACAUUGCAAAAUACAUGAAUAUUGGUUUUUAAAACUUUUUGUGAAAGUUAAUUAGUUUCAGAGCAGUAUGAUUUUAAUUCUGAAGAAAAUGUGAGGUUUUUGCCCAUGCAAAGAGUGUUGCCAAGUCCAUUCGUCCAAACAUUUUUUUUCUUCACAGAAUUGGGCUACUUUUAUACUGAAUACUGCUGCCACAGGUUUUUAUUUACAUUUUUCAUAGUCCACAGGUUAAAGUGAAACCCUCGGUCCUCAAAACGUGAUUUUGACUGAGUUGGAACCCCGUGGAAGGAGGUUGUGACCCCCUGGAAUGCAAUUUUGGAGUGAUUUUAAUGUCAUUUUCCCUCUGAACACCAUUGGGGUAGUUUUGAGCACCAAUGGGGCAGGUUUUGUUACGCAGACCUGGCAACCCUGCAUGCAAAACUUGUUGCCACCAUGCUAAGAUUUCUGGGUUGUUGCAAAGGUGUUGCUAGGUGGUGUAUAGUUGUUAAAUGUUGAAAAUUCAAAUAGCCCACCCACAAGUCUGAUAAUUUGGUUUCUAGUUAGGGAUUGGAUCUCUCCUCCAAUUUAAGUCUAUGAUUUUGCUAGUUUUAUCUACCAGGAAAAAAAAUUAUAGUACUAGAUCACCUACAGUAUUCUCAACAAGAAGCAGUUAUGAGCAACUUUUGAUUUGUUAAAGGUGUUUUUGCUGACUAAACCUUGAAUACACACAGGUAAUAUCAAGAAUUCAGGAUAUGCAUUAAUCAGAGCUCAACAAUUUCCUCCAGCAGUCCAGGAUUUAAGCAGUUUUCCCAUGUUUGAUGCUUAAACAAUUCGAGUUAAUUUUCAUUGGUACUCUUGUGUCCUGCGAUGGACUAGGGGGAGUCUUGCGCUACACGGUUCCAGUGUAUGGAGCUGCAGUCUGAUUGCAUUUGCACAAGAACAAAGGAACUUUCUUAACACUCUCAAGUAGAUGGAAGCAGGAUAGAGUGUACAGUAAUUAACAAAUCUGAUGGAGGACAGUUAGCGAAUGGGGUUCAUUAUGCUGUAAUUUUCUGUUCCUUGUAAAUAAAAGCGCCCAAUACUCCAAGCAGUUGGAUUUAAUUGCAAUUAAUUAAAUUCUUAGUGAAUGCUGCACAUCAGCUGGAAAAUGAUGUCAGCUCAUGGCAAUUCUGUGUUUUGUGUGUAAUGUUAAACAAUUUUUUUUUUUUUCUAGAAGUCAAAUGGCACUCGACCCCAAAUGAAAGUGCAAUUCUUAUCAUAAACCAAGGCCUGAGUGGAAUCUGUGCACUUUUCCCUCCACAUUUUAUGCAGAUUAAAAUCAUUGGAAGGGAAAUCUGCAUAAUUGCAGUAAUUAUCUAAACAAAUUUUUGUGAGGAAUUAUGUUUCAUGUGCAGUUUUUCACUCAGUUUCAGCUUAAAUCUGUUUUUUACACCAAGUUAUUGUAUGGAUUCAGAAG